rnacentral:tRNA from 1 species
UAUUAGAUGACUGAAAAUUUAAGUAGUGAUCUUUUAAAUCAUUAAUAGUAUAUUUACUUCUAAUAU